GAGGUUGUCCCCCAAAAGGUCACUAAAUGAGAUGAAUUAAGAAAAUUAAUUUCACUAAUUCAUGUUACUUAAAAACAAGCAGUCAGUAACCCAGAUGUAUAUGCUGGUGUUGGCUUACGGAUUGUAUUUCCGGUUUCCUCAAACAGUGUGAAGGAAUCUCACUAGUUCAUUAUAAUUGUGGACCAUCUGGAUCACUGUGGAACAGCUGAAGGUUAGAAGAUGAUGUUAGUACUAGAGUUAAUAGCACAUGGUGGGUGUUGAGACUCUAAAAGUAGCAAGGAUCUUUAAACAGUCCUCACUGUAAAGUAACUAUUAUAGGCUUGAUAAA
rnacentral:lncRNA from 1 species